AAUUAGGUGUCCCAUAUGGCUAGCAGACAAAACUGGGUGGAUUCCACUUCAGGCUUACAAAAACACAGACACUUAGAUGCCAUCUUUCUGAAGAGAAUCCCAAACUGAUUGCAAAUCCAGAACUGAGUAUGCCACUACAUGAUGACACUGAGUUCAUAUUUCUCUGGUUUGUCCUCAGAUUGUUCAGCCUUAAAGACUGAGUCAGGCUCUGGAUGGUGGAUUUCAAUGACAAGAACAUAGAUGAGGCCUCCAAUGACAGCACCAACCAAAGGGCCCACUACAGGAAUCCACCAGAAGUUGUUUCCAGCUCUGAAAUCAAACAAGAAAUUAGUGAUACAUUUCUUGGCCUUCCUCCUGGUAUUACUGUCUAGUUUUUCACUCACUUGUUAGUCUUUCUCAUGCUCAUGGUUCCCUCUUAACUCAGCAAGAUCUAAGUAUAAGGAGGGGUCACUGCAGCAUGGCAACUGUCAUCCUUGAUUUUCCACUACACCUGAUUUCAGAUGAUCUAUUUCCUGGUCCUACUAAUAUUUGUGAGAUAUUAUGUCUUACUUAUUUUCCUUUUAGAAAAUAUAGUGCUUGAGCCCAUGGUUAGGAUUGAGGGCCCCUAAGAAAGUUCAGGUCAAUUACUCAGGAAAUGCCUUUCCCUCAUCCUGAAAUAAUGGUGCCUGUGGAUUAUGAGUAGAAUGUGGAGAGAUUCCUGGGCAUCACUCGUGUAUGAGGACAAUCAAACUAAUCAAUCAGGAAAUGUUUUUCAAUUAAUGAAUGAAUUUUUAAAAAAUCUAAGGUGGAUGUGUGAAUUGCCUACUAAAUAUAAUUUAAAUCCGUACUUAUUUUUUAAGGUCAUAGCUUGAAGCUACCCUCUGAUAAGGUUGUCAUGCCAUGACGCUCUUUCUUCCGGAAAUCCUCAAUGUCAGUACAUUACAGCAAAGCUAUAGUUCUGGGGAAAAGCAGGUAUCUUUGUGAGUUGUCAGCAUCUUCUUUGGAGAGAGAAAAUUCCUGUAAAUAAUUUCUUAGAAAGGAUCAGGAAAGCAAACAAAAACAUACAGUAUAUUGUUUAAGGAUAUGUACAUUUAAGGUAAAAGUAUUUUUAAAAAGUGGGAGAAUGGCAAACACAAAAGUUCAGGAUAAAUGCAGAGGGAGUGGAAGACAAGAGGAGUACCCAGAGGCAUUUGAGAAUUUCAGUGUUCUAGUUGGAUUCUAGAAGGACCCAGAGCUGUUCUUUUCAUCAUUAUGCUUAAUAACUACACAUAUGUUCCAUGUGGCCUUUUGUGUAUCUCAAACUUUGAUUAGAAAGAACGAUAAAGGAAAUAAGCAGGAAACAAGAACCCUGUCCUAGAAUCCAGGAGACUAGGUCUAAUCUGAAGAUUAUCUAGAAGGUCUUUGAGCAAAUCAAACUCCCGUUCUCCACCGUGAGCUCCACUUCCUCCAUCUGCAUGGUCCUUUCCACCUGGAGCACCUAAGUUGUCUCUGAAGUCCUCCAUUGCCCAUGCAGGGUUGAUGGAAGAGCACUGAGCCUGAGCACGCCAGCCACCAGAUGUCACUCUUACUACACGGCAGUGAGGAUGCUGCACUGCCGCUCUCACAGUGCCCUUCCCCAGGCCCCAAAUCCGGAUGGAUUUUUCUAGAGGAGGCACACGGAGGGUGGCUGCUUCUCCCAUUUGGCUGUAAAGACUUGAAGUCUUCUUUAGAGCUCAAAACAUGAAGGGAGUAUAAGCUACCUGUUGGGUCCAUCAUUUCCUUUUGUGGCAAAUCUCUUCCUGUCAUUCAGCAGAUGAAGGUCCAAGAUAUCAGCCAGGGUACAUGUCCUCCUUUCACUGGCUGGACACUUUUUCUUUUAUCAGACUGGACACGUUGUGUCAGGUUCACAGGUCACAAAUGGAGGCGCUCAGAUGUGGUUACCUGCCUAGCCUAGUCCCAUAUGCACACAAAUAGUGAUCAUUUGCACACUAUGAUUCGGGGGAUGCUAAGAACAUGUCUAUGUUAACUGUCUAAAGGAUCAUCUUUAGAGAUUCGUUACUGUGGGUCAACUAUUUGAAAAAUUUAAUAAUACUCCUGAGAGCUUUCCCUGAUUAAGUCAUUAACAUCUUAAUGUGAAUAAGUGGAGAGAACUUUGGUGGGAAACAUCUUAACAUUUAAAGGAAAAACCAAGAUUUGGCCAGGGUCUGUUGACUCUUGCCCUCAUCAGACCCUCUGGCACCUCCCUGUCCCUGCCAUCAUUCCACUGCUUGCCAUUCAGGGGUACAUGGGGUCCUGGGAACAAGGUAGCCUGUUCUUUCUCUAAGACCUUAGGUGUAGGUCCAAGCUAGGAUAUCUACUGAGGGAUUUCCCUUGGAUAUAGAACUCUGAGGAAAUGAGACACUUUUAAGAACACUUUGGAAGCCUGUUGUACCUCAAAGGUUUUGGGGAGAACUUUUUGGUUGAGGAGUACCAGCCAACCCUGCUCUUUCCUAAUGAGUUUCUGCUUCCUCACUCUCUCCUUUUUCAAUCAGUCUUAUAGGAUGCUGUCAGAUUAAUUUUGCUAAAUUGACAUUCUAAACCUGCCAAACUUGUACCCCAAAUACUUUGCCACUCCCUAUAACCUACAGAAUAGGGAGCAGAAAAAACAAAAAACAAAAUUCUCAUUCCGGGAGUCCAGGUCCUCUAUGAUCUGACAACUGCCCUUUCCAACUUUCUUUCUGCACCCUUCCAGUUAAACUAGAUCACUUGUGAUUCUAACAUUGUGUCUUUGAAUAAGGGUUCUCUCUGCCUGAGAUAUCCCCUCUGUUGCCUGUUUAAACAUAUCCAAAUACUAUAAACGCUCCCACUUCCACUCCCAUAAUUCUUAAAUUUGGAGCUGUAGACCUCUAAACUCCUGGAGUUAAUUAGUCAAAUCUCUUUAAUGGCACUUGACCACUUUAACCUUGUGUAAGAGCUUCUGCAAUAACCUCUUAAAUAGAGUAUAAAUAAAACCGUGAAGGACAGAAACUAGGUCUUAUCAUCUUUAGCAGAGAGCCUUGAGUAAGAGAUCAAGCAGCUGCGUGAAUGAAUAAAUGAGUGCAUAGAAGGGAAAAGAUCCUGAUGCUAGCUAGGGAUGUGGGACAUUAGGUGAUUCCAGCAUUUUCCUCCACGUGGGUUCUCCUAACAUAUACCUAACACAGCAAAUAGACAUUGGGCAAGAUCUCCAUCUCUUUCGGAACAACCACGUCUCUUGAACUUUUGAAUGAAUCACCAAGGAGGGCUCAAAGAGGGUGGGAGAAGAGCAUGGUCUCCAAGACUGAGACUCUGGAAGGUGGAAUUAAGGGAAACUCAUGGGCCAGUUCUGGGCUCUGGGAAUAAGGAGAUCCUUAGGACAUAUGUUUUUGAUGCUCCAUUGGAAGGAUACAAGAGAUCCACCCUCGUUGGGGACGUUUUCAUGUUCUAGUUGUGAUCAUUCUAGGACAGAAUGUCUCAACCACAGCCCUAUUAACAUUUUGGACUGAAUAAUUCUUUGUUGUGGGAGGUGUGCUCUAUGCAUUGCAGGAUGCUUAGCAGCAUUCCUGGCCUCUACCCAUUAGAUGCCCAUAGCAUCCCCUUCCCCCAGCUCCAGCUGUGACAACCAAAAAUGCCCGGGGGAACAGUUGCCCACCUCUGGUUGAGAACUGCUGUUCUAGGAAAUUUAUUGCAUUGUCAAUUUCUUGAGGACAGAGAAUGUCAACUGAGUUGCUCUGCAUCCUUCUACUCCUAGGAAGUGUCAGCACAUAGAAGUUAUUCUUUCUUUUAUUCAAUACCUUGUUAUUGAGCCUUUCUAUGAGUUACACCCUGUUCUAGGCACUGGGGAUAUACCAGGGGAAAGGCUGUCAAGGUACUCGUGGCACUUACACUCUAGGCGCUCUGAGUGCUAUCUUUGGUGGCAAUUUCAGUGGCACCAGUUAUUUUAACUUCUUUUUCAUCGUGGUGAAAGGCAGGCCAAACUCCGAUGACUCUAUGUCUAGGUCAUCAUUUGGGAACACUCACGUCCUUUUUUCUCACAGGAAACAUUAAACUAGAAUUUGCUCAUACAUGUUUUUCCUACUUUUCUCCAUGGUAGAGCCCUGUUUCCUGAUGAACCAAAGUGAGCUCCUUCCCUGCAGGGAGUUGCCGUGGGUGGAUGAGGAUGCGCCUCUGUGACUGCAUGCAGAGAAAGCAGGAAGGAGUGAAGGGGCAAAGUUUGUCCUAGGAGAGACACCACCAGUCACAUAAAUGGCCAUUGCAACUGCCAUUGAAAAUCCAACAUUGAUAGUGAUGAUCCCUCCAAAACUUCCUCGACUGAGAAUAGCUUGGGCAACAGACCCGCAUCCAAGGACCUGGAAUGAGAGAGAAACUCAACAAAUGCUGAAAUGGCUUUUCUUAGGAGGAUAAUCAAUGCUGUGUGCUGCAGGAAAUAGGAGGAGAGAUGGAGCAAUGUGGGGACUUCAGUUACCCUCAUCAGAAACGCCGCUCAGAGGAUUGGAGCCCAGAUUUCCAGCACUGCGUCUUAAUUUAGAAAUGUAUUUGCUGUAGCCUGAAAAGCAACAAGGAAGCCAGGUAACUGCCUCCUGGUUUCUUCCUUUGCCUGCCUCCUCUUGCCUAUAUUCAUAGCACCAGGACAGCAGAUCAUGGACAUUCUAAUGUGUCAUGAGCUGCUUGCUGGAGAUCUGGUCACCCACUCUGAUUCUCUAUGUGUUCAGUGUAUUUUUUUCCUCCAAAAAUGAGACAACUGUUUUUUAUGGUAUUGACGAUAAAAGUUCCAUCCUGAUUCCCUGCUCUCACCUUCAAGAACUGCCAUACCUUUCCCUUCUUAGACUCAAAAAGAGCACAUUAUCAUAUCCACUCUGUCUUGAUUUUCCUGGUCUCCCCAUCUAGAAAGCAUUUCCUUUUUUUUUUUUUUCUUUUUUUUUUUCUUUU